UAUCAAACAGUCAGAAGUCCUGCUAGGCUAAUAGCUGGUCAUGUGAUCAAUUUUGGAAUCAAUAUAACAGGCUGCCAGCAGCUGCCAGCAGUUUCUGAUUCAUCAAAGACAUCACUCUCAAGGCUGGUUGGUUGGCCAGAGUUUCUCAUCAAGGAGUACAUGCUGUUUGCUCCCCAGAUGGACAGCCUGGAUGAGCUACAAAUCCACAGAGCCUGGGACACAAGAAAUUCUAAUGCUCAACAAAUGCUGCAAGUAGGUCAAACCUUCACUGGAAAACCAGGUUGGGUUGCAGACACCAGAUGACAGGAGGGGCAGUGACAGAUUGGAGUGACCCAGAGUACCGGAACA